rnacentral:lncRNA from 1 species
UAUUUAUGAGUUCCAGCAGUUUUCUUGGGGAGGUUUGGGGACUUCUAAAUAUAGAAUCAUGUCAUCUACAAAGAAAGAUAGUUUUACCUCUUCUUUUCCCAUUAGUAUCUUUUUAAUUUCUUUCUUCUGUCUGAUUUCUCUGGCUAGAGUUUUCAGAACUAUGUCGAAUCAAAGUGGUGAAAGAGGACAUCUGUGUCCAGUUUUUAGAUCAACUACUUACAGUUUUUCUCUGUUUAGAAUGAUGUCAAUCUUGGGUUUCUCAUACAUGACUUUUACAAUGUUUGGGUGAGUUCUUUCUGUCCCUAGUUUUUCUAGUGUUUCGAGCAUGAAUGGGAUGCUGUAUUUUGCCAAAUGCUUUUUCUGCAUCUAUUGAGGUAAUCAGUCAUUCUUGUCUUUAAAUAUAUUUAUGUGAUGAAUUACGUUUAUUGAUUUCCGUUAUGUUGAACCAAACUUGUAUCCUUGGAAUGGACCCCACUUGAUCGUGGUGCACUAUUAUUUUAAUGUGUUUUCAUAUGCAGUUUGCCAAUGUUUUAUUAAGAAUUUUUGCAUCUACGUUCAUGAGGGAUAUUGGUCUGAAGUUUUCUUUCCUUGACGUGUCUCUGUCUGGUUUUGGUAUCAGGGUGAUAUUAGCCUCAAAGAAUGAGUGUAGAAUGGUUCCCUCCUUUUCCAUUUCUUGGAAUAAUUUGAGGAGGAUUGUUCGUCCUUCUAUGAGUGUCUGGUAAAACUCCGCUGAGAAUCCAUCUGGUCUUAGGCUUUUUUUUUGUUGGUAGGAUUUUGCUCUUUAAUUCUAUAUUUUCCUUUUUGACUUUUGUUGAGCUAAAGUUUUACUUACUAUUUUGUUUGAAAGACAUACAUCAUAUUUCUAUUUCAUUGGAUAUUCUUAACAAAUAUACAUAGUUAAACUUAAGUCUGAGACACACUGGGUAAGUAGUCUGUUCUUCUGAAUAAGAUUAAGAAUUUACUACAUUUUAACUUUCCUCCAAACUAUUCUAUUUCACAUGGCAUUGGCUGGUAUUUUAUUUCUAGCUUUCAUGAAAUAAAUAUUUUUUUCUUUUUAUUUAUUUUAUAACCAGUACUUAUUAAGAUGUUCUUUAAAUUUUUUAAAAAUAAUUAUAUAAUGAAAUUGACUGAUUAUUUUGAGGUAUAGUUCUAGGAAGUUUAAUUCAUGUGUAGAUUCCAGUCAUUCCCAUCCUAAUCAGGAUUCAGAACAAUGAAUGGUAUAACCUCAAUCAACCCCCUUGCGCUGUUCUUUGAUUGUCAGAGAACCACCUACCCUCAAUCCCUGACAACCAUUGACCAGUCCCAUCACCAAAGUUCAUCCUGUUGAGAAUGUCACAUAGAUAGAAUCAUUCAGCAUGUAGUCUUUGGAGACUGAUUCCCUUCACUCAGCAUAAUGCCUUUGAAAUUCAUUCUGUUUAUAACAUGUAUCCAUUGUUUCUCCCUUUUUAUGGCUGAAUAGUAUUCCAGUCUCUCCAUUUAUUCAUUCACCUGUUGAAAGACAAUUUGGUGUUUCCACGUUUGGAGACCAUGUACAGGGUGCUAUAAGUAUCUAUGCAGAGGUUUUUGUAAGGACAUGAGUCUUCGGUUCAUCUGCAUAAAUACCUAGAAGUGGAAUUGCUCAGUUGUUUGACAAGUAUAUCAUAUAUUACAUUUAAAUUAUAUUAUAUUUAAAUUUAUGAGAAAUGGCCAAACUGUUUCCCAGAGCAGCUCUAACCAUUGUACAUCUCCACCAGCAGCCUGGGACAGAAGCAGUUGCUCCUCACCUCAGUCCCACCUGGUCUUUUUAUUGGAGCCAUUCUAAUAGGUGUGCAGUUAUUCCUCCUUGUGGCUCUCGUUUGCUUUCCUCUGUCAACUGCACUGUGUCUUUGCAUGUGUUUAUCUUCUACCUCCUCUUCUGUUUGGCAAAGUGUCUGUGCAAGGCCAAUGCCAUUUCUUUUUUUUUUUUAAUUAUUUUUAUUUUUUAGUUUUUGGCGGACACAACAUCUUUGUUUGUAUGUGGUGCUGAGGAUCGAACCCGGGCCACACGCAUGCCAAGCGAGCGCGCUACCGCUUGAGCCACAUCCUCAGCCCCAGCAAUGCCAUUUCUUUAAUGAGGUUGUUAAAAAAUAAGCACUUCAUAGGAAAUUCUUGAGACUUACAGACAUGUUUUAUUACUUUCAUGGUUGCUUCUCAUUUCUUUUCUUCCUCCUAAAAUACAUCCUUGGUAGGACUUUCUGUGAAGAGCUAACAAUCUAACAAAAAGAACCUCCUUAGUCUGUAUUGAAACAUCAUCUUAGAAGCACCCCCUUAUUUCAGAAGUACGGCUUAGCUAGGUAUGGGAUUUGAAGUCCUCGCUCAUGUGCUCUAACACCAUAAACAUGUGAUCCAGUCCUUCAGUGGCAUUUUUGAAAAAUUGGCUGUAAACCUGAUGGUCAGCCUUUCACAGCUGAUUGGUCUUUCCUCUCUGGUGGUCUUUAGGAUUUUUCUCUUUAACCUACAGCUUUGCUCUAAUAUUUCUUAACAUGAAUUUGCCUUCAUUUAUUCUCUCGGAGACUUGGCAGACCUUUUCAGUUGAAGAUUCUUAUCUUAGUUUCUGGAGAUUUCCUAGGCAGCACCUUUGGAUCUCACCCGUCAUCUCUAUUCCUAGAACGCUUCUGCAGAGACCUCUGUGCACAUCUGCCUCCAUUCCUCCCAACUUACCUUUCAUGUUGUCCCUAUCUUCAGAUGUGUCUUCUGAGUUCCGCCUUCUAAAGGAUUUUCUCCACUCUACCUGCAAAGUCUUUAUUUUUUCAACUCUGUAAACCUUAUUAUUAAAUGUGUAUAAGCUGCUAUUUUUAUGGCCGUAUUUAUCAGUUCCAAGAUCCUGUAUUUUUUUUGUAUCUGGGUUUUUUUUUUGGGGGGGGCAGUUCAUAAGGGUCAUGCUUUUGUUUUGGAGAAUCAUUUCUUUUUCUGUACUUCUGAACAUUUCUGACAUACUGAUUUUAUAUCCUCCUCUUGUUUUUAUAUUGUUGGGCACCUGUGAAGAAGCUGGUGUACCAUGGAAGGGGGCCGCUCAGGCUGGGUGCAGGACAAGAUCACUGCACAAGAGGUCAACGACAUACAAAGAUCUUUCAGGAUUUUCUGCAUGUUUAUCAAAAUCAUGGAGAAGUGAAAUAGGAGUCGUGUUAGAGCAAGUGACAGUAAGCCAGGGGUGAAGAUCUUCAAGGACAAAAGGGAGGUGACUUGGAAGUAGGACUUGACGGUGACUUGAGGUGACUUAUGGCAGGGGAUCCAAGGCUGGAGUCUUUGGACACUGACUAUAGUGGAAGCAGCAAAGCAAGGGACACCUCCAGACCCAGUGGAAGGAGGGUUUCCCAAAUGACUGCAUGGGAAGAGAUCCUGGUCCAAGCCACGGUUGACCUGCUCCCCACGCAGGUACCAUUAGAUUAAAAUAGGCUUGAAAUCACCUGGCUCUGCUGACCGUUUGCUGGCCUGCCUCUGCUGUCUCCACGGAUCCCCAACAUGGAUUCUGUCUUUUUGCUUUUAGCUGAAACUUUUACCCUUAUUUCAUGGAGGAAAACAAUAACAACAACAACAAAAAAUAAAACCCGAGUGCUCACCCUGUGCAGCUGUUUCUGAAUCAUCUUUCUGCUUCCUCUGAAGAUGAUUGCACUGCCCUCUCACUUGACCAAGGCAGAAGUUUCCAAAGCAGAUCCACUGGGGACCACCAACAUUCCCCCCUGGCUAUCUCCUGCAAUAACAAUUUGCUGCUAUUCUGGAUCACUUUUCUAUAUCAAUGCUGCUAUUUCUUCCAUAUUAAAAAAUAUCCUGUUUGACCCUCCAUCCCCAUAGCUCCUGCUGCACCUUUCUGAUCCGAGUUAGAGAUGACAACAUCAGAGCUGCCCCUUCUGUUCCAGCUGAACUUUUUGAUGCGCUCUUGGGAGCCUGCGUCUUUUGGAUAACUGACGUGGCUUAAUUUGUAUUUUCUAUUAAGAUAUCAUUCUUACACUUUCUCUUAUUUCUUUAAAUGUAGAAGCUUCCCUAGAUCUUUGCACAUGCUUAAAGUCGAUGAUUUAAAGUGUUUGGUCUGGUAGGUCCAAAGUCUGCCUUCCUCGGGGACAUUUUCUAUUGAUUGAGUUGUUAUUGUUUGUGUUUUUUUUGAUUGUUUUUGUUUUGUUUUGUUUGUUCAACAAACGCCUCUGGAAGAAAACUGUUCUUGCUCUGAAAACAAUAAAAAACAAAACAAAACAAAAACCAACUACCACCAGCAUUUCCAGUGAUGUCUUCCAGGGAGCCACCAGACAGGUCAGAUCAUUACCGUUCUCUGGGAAUGGGACUUUGAUUCUGGAAAUUUUGUUAGUUUUUCCCUGACUUUCAUGAGGCAGAGAAUUCUCAGGGGCCAUUACUUCACAAUUCCCACUGACCUUGAACUCAUUUCUGGCAGGAUUUCAUCUCCACCUCUCUGCAAAAGCUACUCCUGACAAGGUCUUCAGUGACUUUCCCUUUUUCUUAAUCCCAAAUGGAUUGAAGAGAGUGUUUCUGAGAAGGCAUCAGGAAUGAAGUGUUGGGAAUUAAAUCAGAGCAGGUCAAGUUCCUUACCUUUGUGACAACGUCACAAUAUCCUGGUAUUGUAGAUAACUUAAAAGAAUAAAUAUAAAUAAAUUUAAAAAAGAAAAAAAAAAGAUUAACUAUAAGUCCUCAUCUUAUUUGAUCCAUUAGCAGGAAUCAACCCUCACCCUUGAAGCACUUCCAAGGUUGGCUUCUUACGUAUUUUGUUCCCCUGGUUUUCUUUUGACCAUGUUGGUCAUUCUUUUUCCAUCUCCUUUUUUAUUUAUUUCCUUUACCCAACAUAACUUCUAAAUGUUGGAAUGGCUCAUUCCCUGGCGAUCAUAUGCCAUCUCACGCCAACUAUAUGCUGAUACUACCAAACAAAAAUCUUCAUCCUGGAGCCCUACCCUGAACUCCAAUAUCAAGUGAGGAAUGACAUACUCAACAUUUCCACUUGUGUUUUGAGAGGCAUGUGAAAUUCUGAAAUAUCUAAAUGUGCGUAGGCUACAGACAAUCUCUCUCAUUUCAGUGUAGAUAUCAAUGGGGGCAGAAACUUUGAGUCAUCCUUGACUUGACUUCUCUCACUUAGCACAUCAAAUCCUGUAGCAAAUGUGUUGGCUCUACCUUCUGACUAUAACCCUAAAGCAUCCAAUUUUUAUCACCUGGACCAUAAUCCAAGCCUCCAUGAUCUCUUAGAUGAAUAGCCUCCUAACUGCUUCUGUCUUUGCUGUGCUAAAUUUAAUCUCACACAUCAUCUGGGAAGAUGCAUUUGAAAUCCAAUUUACAACUUUUCUCCUCUCCCACUAAUUUUCCCUACAAUUGUUCCCAUCUAUAGGAAAAGCCAACUCCCUCUCAUUGGCGGCCAACUCUGUAUGCAGUCUGGCCCUGUGCUCUCCUGUACCCUGCUCCCCAUGAGACUCCCUGUCCUUCAAUCACUCACCCUGUCCCUGUGGGCUAUGUUGGUCUUCCCACAGGAUGAACACUGUCCCCCACUGUCUGGGACUCACUUGUCUGACAGGCCAUGUGGCAUGCUGCUUUACCCCUUCAGGUCCUGUUCAAUGUCACCUCCUUAGUGGAUCCUUUCCUCACCACCUUAGUCCCAAACCUAACAAUCUUAUCCCCCUUUGCUGCUGUAUUUUCUCCUGAGCAUGCAUCACUGUCUGCAGAACCACAGUCUACUUAUUUUUAUUGAGUGUUAAUUCAACAGUCAACUCCCCCUAGGAGGAAUCUAAUGGUCUGAAGAGUCAUAAGAUCCAUGCAGAGAGAGCAGCAUCCUCCCUGAUAGCAUGGCAGCCUCAGAAAUGGAGACCUAUCUGGCCUCUUGAAGUGAUGCACAACCACCUUCCUUGGAGUCUGUAUCCCCAGCCAUGGGGUGACCAUCUCAAGUGGUCUUUUACUCUUGAGCCAGGGCUCUGACAUUCCACAGAUGUGCUCAGAGUUCCUUUGCUGGCUCACAUGGUAACUCCUUCUGUCCUGCUGCACAAAAAUGCAUGAUUUACACAUCUCUUAGGGGGUGUAGAUUAUACAAGUGAUGUAUUAUGCCAUGAAUUCCAACCCCGCUCCUGUCAGUAUUCAUCUGAGGGUCGGAUGCCAUAUCAUAAAAAUAAUAUGAAUGGUAACAACUAAAAUUUAUGGGGGUUGGUUGAAAAAUGAGAUUGAUAACUUGUUGAAAUAAUAAAACACAAAGUGUUUUUCUUCUUAAGGAUAAAAAGAAAUUUAGUAUUCACAUGGGAUGGAAACUAAAUCAUUCUCCGGUAAGUUCUCAUCUAACCCAUGUAGUGAAAUAAUGUAACAAAAUGAGUGCCAUCCUCAAAAUUGAUUAUACGCUGAACUUUAACAUUUCCUGACUUGCCAUAUAUAGUAAUUCUCACUGCCCUGUGGUAAAUCGAUGGCUUUUUAAUGAAGUGAUAGUCAAUAAAUUAGUAUCUGUACAGCACAUAGAAUGGUUCCUAGUAAAGUACCAUAUGUGUAAGCACUUAUGAAUUCUAAAACACAAAGCUAUGUGUUGCAUUAUGUAUUUUAUUUUUCCCAUGAAAAAAAUAGUGUAUAGUAACAUCACUCUGUAACUCUGUCAAUUCUUUUUGAGUUAUCUUACAACUUUUAAUUUUCAAACAAGUGAAUAUCAGUCUCCAUAACCCACUGAAGCCACAAGUUUCUGGAAUCCUUUCUUAUUCUUAUUAUAAAAGUUGAAAAGGUUCUAAGGCCAAAUGAUGAGAUGACCUCUAGGGGUUAAGCCCAAGCGUGACUGGGACAUUUCUUGAUCUGACCUCACAAAGAGCCGUUGUGAGGGAAUUUCAAACAGUGGGUAUAUGAGAGGGUGGCCGCAUCUGGGCUUCUGUCCACAAGUACAGGAAGCUCUUGGUGGUGACCUCUUGGACUACCAGAUAGUUAGUGCAUUUGGUGGUUGGUGGUUGUAGUCUGUUUUUCUUUCUUAUUUUAGUUGUAGAUGAACACAAUAACUUUAUUUUAUUUUCACAUUGUGCUGAGGAUCCAACCUAGGUCCUCACGCAUGCCAGGUGAGCACUCUACCACUGAGCAACAACUCCAGGCCCAGUUGUGGUCUUUGUUGUUGUUGUUGUGCUGGGAGUUGAACCCAGGGCCUGAUGCAUGCAACAAUUGUGGUCUUUUGGUUCUAUUUUUUCUUGUAUUGUUUUGUUUUACUGAUGUGGGUUUGUUUGUUUGUUUUUUGGUCUUGGUUUUUUGUUUGGGUUUGUUCUUUUUAUUUUAUUGUAUUCUUAGCUAGCAUCCUUGGUUGGUAUUCCUGCUUAGGAUGUGUAUUGAAAGUUGUCACAGCAGUAUAGGGCUGCAGGGUCCCAGUUUCUGCUAUGAGACCACCUUCAUGGACCACUAUGAGGUCCUGAGGGACAUCAGGCAGGGUGGCUAUGACCAGGUGAAACUAGCCCACUGUCUCCUCACAGGGACAAAAGUGGCAGUGGAAGUCCUGCUAAAGGUGGAGCUGAACAGUCUCUAAAGGCUAAAACAAGACAGAGACAUUACAAGAAAAAUUAUAAACACCCUAAUGAACUACAUGCAGUCUACUCUGAAUAUAUAAUAAUAAUUUUGUUCAUCAAAUUCUAUAAAUAUAACAAGGAUAACACAACUAGACCAAGGAGUGUUUGCCCCAGGAGUGUGAGUUUUGCCAGAGAACGUCAUUGGCUCUUCUGUUCCCGUAUCUGCAUGUGUCAGGGUGUCAUGACUAUGACAUACCAUACCCUCAUCUUCUCCUGAGGAUCCGUUACUUCCUUCCAAUUACCCACAGAUUCAUGGCUCAGAACAUCCAUUUGACUUAAUAAUUUAUUUUAAGGCAGUUUUUUGGUUUGCUCAGUUUUGUGGGUCAGGAUUUUGGGGGGGGGGAGAGCUUAACUGGGUAGUUUAUUUCUGAGCUGUACAGUGUCAACAAGGAUGGCUGGGGCCAAACCUUUCCCUCCCAGAUGGCCUCUUUACUCACAUGUACGGAUAGUUGUUGGCCCUUUCCUGCUCUUGACAAGGAGCUGCCUCUCUCUCCAAGGUGUCCUCACAUAGCUUGGGUUUUAGGAUGUCACACCCCUUACAUGCAGCUCCAAGGAGCAAGCCCACAGCCGCUGGUCUUCAAGGUUAAGCUGGGAACUAAAUGACCUCACACUUCUCACACUGUCUUGGUAAAGGCCACCAAAGACCUGCUCAGAUCUGAGGUGAAGGAAGAGGAUACCAUAUCCAAAGGAGAAACGGCAGCGAUUCUGUGCCAUCUUUAAAACACCAUGUACACCUUCCUUUCCAACUCAGACCUGGCAGAAUGGUUCCUGCAAAGAAGGGAGGUGAAAGAAGAAGAGUCCUUCUGCCAUUAACAAGGUGGUGACCCAAGAAUUCACAUCAAUGUUCACAAAUACAUACCUGGAGUGGCCUCACAACAAGUGUGACCUUGGAGACUUAGAGAGAUCUAGCAAUUUGCCAAAAAGGACAUGGGGACUCCAGCUGUGCACAUUGUUGCAGGGAGUGGGGGGGAUGUGGUUGAUUUUCUUGUGAUUUUCCUUCUGACAUUUUGCCAUGGUGACACUGAUUCUCUUUUGGUCUGGUGUUCUCCGGUUCCCAAUUCAUGGGUUGCUUCUUAUUCAAAUAAACUCUUUAAUAUUGCACUCUGCCUCCAAUUUUUCUUUUACAGUGGCUAAAGUGAAAGUUUGUGUGCUAUGUAUAUUUUCACACCAUAAUCAAAUUGGAAAAGAGAACUACGGCGCCCAAUCUUAUCACAUCUCAUAGGUGUGUUCAGGACGCGAGCCUUGGACUGGUUCACUCAGAAUCUAGCGGCAGCACGAUGGCCUCUUUGAGCUUGAAAGUACAGAAUGGAGAUGGAUUUUGUCAGCCAAUCAACUCUCUCAGGAUUACAGACCUAUAUGAACAGGUGUAGCUCACAAGGGAGGGCUGAGGGUGUGGGAGGCAGAGAAGUUAGGGAAAUCUCACACAUGGCAGACACCAGUCCUAGCAUUAGUGCACCGGAGGUGAUGCUGAACACAGCUGGUCCCCUGCCCUCCACGCCUCUCACGUUCCACCUUUCUACCAUUAAACUGGUUUGCUUUGGUUUUUGUUUUCCUGAUCUCCUCCCCUACACACUGCAGUCAGACAAGACUGGCCCACUUUGAGUCUUAACUUGUGAAGGAAAGUCUGCUGGAGAGAGAGGCAUUCUGGAACAUCUUUUGGUUGAUGUCAUGCCUGGAUGUGAAGCCUUUUCCUAAACGUGUUACCUUGCUUGCCAGAAUGCCACACUGCCAAAGCAAAAGGAGAGAAAGGUCCCCAGUCUGUGGUGACAGCUGAGCCAGGGAUCAGCCAGACCCAGAGCCUAACUGACUCCCAAUGUCAGGUAUCUUCAUCAUUUAACUAGUUGAGCUAUGAUGCCUGCUUCUUGUAGCUGAAGGUAUUCUAAUGGAUAUUAUUAUGGUUUGGAUCUGGAAAGUUCCCCCACACUUCCAUGCACUGAAGGUUUGGUUCCCAGCCUUUGGGCUAUUGGGAGGUGGUAGAACCUUUAGAAGAGAAGGCAGAGUGGGAGGAAGUUUAGUCAUUGGGGUUGUGCCCUUGAAGUGGAUAUUGUAGUAUCCAUUCCCUUCCUCUCUCUCUCUAUUGCUUCCUGAUCACCAUAAAGUAAACAGCUUUGUUCCACCAUGGGCUCCUGCCAGGAGGUGCUGCCUUGCCACAGGUCAAAAAGCAAUAAAGCAACACUGGGGAUAUAGCUCAGUUGGUAGAGGGCUUGCCUUGCAUGUUUAAGGCCCUGGGUUCAAUCCUCAGCACCACCAAAUAAAUAAAUAAAUAAACAAAGCAACACAGCCAACCAACUGUGGAUCAAAAUUGUGACCCAAAUUAAAUUAUUUCUUCUCCUUUUAAGUUGAUUCUCUCAGGUGUUUUGACCAGUGACAGAAGGCAGACUAAGACACCUUAUUUUUACAGAAAAC